rnacentral:rRNA from 1 species
GGGAAUUUUGCGCAAUUGGGGAAACCCUGACGCAGCAACGCCGCGUGGAGGAUGAAGUAUCUUGGUACGUAAACUCCUUUCGAUGGGGAAGAUAAUGACGGUACCCAUAGAAGAAGCCCCGGCUAACUUCGUGCCAGCAGCCGCGGUAAUACGAGGGGGGCAAGCGUUGUUCGGAAUUAUUGGGCGUAAAGGGUGCGUAGGCGGUUUGAUAAGUCAUCUGUGAAAUCUCUGGGCUCAACCCAGAGUCUGCAGGCGAAACUGUCGGGCUUGAGUAUUGGAGAGGUGAGUGGAAUUUCCGGUGUAGCGGUGAUAUGCGUAGAUAUCGGAAGGAACACCUGUGGCAAAAGCGGCUCACUUGACAAUUACUGACGCUGAUGCACGAAAGCUAGGGUAGCAAACA